rnacentral:rRNA from 1 species
GAGCGCCGUAGCAAUACGGAGCGGCAGACGGGAGAGUAACACGUGGGAACGUGCCCUUCAGUUCGGAACAACCCAGGGAAACUUGGGCUAAUACCGGAUACGUCCGUAAGGAGAAAGAUUUAUCGCUGAAGGAUCGGCCCGCGUCUGAUUAGCUUGUUGGUGAGGUAACGGCUCACCAAGGCGACGAUCAGUAGCUGGUCUGAGAGGAUGAUCAGCCUCACUGGGACUGAGACACGGCCCAGACUCCUACGGGAGGCAGCAGUGGGGAAUAUUGGACAAUGGGCGCAAGCCUGAUCCAGCCAUGCCGCGUGGGUGAUGAAGGCCUUAGGGUUGUAAAGCCCUUUCGGCGGGGAAGAUAAUGACGGUACUGGUGGAAGAAGCACCGGCUAACUCUGUG